GAUCCUGCCGGACCCCACUGCUAUCGGGAUGGGACUAAGACAUGCUAGUCGUGCGUCUCCUAGCCAUGAUGGAGACGCGGCGCACAGCUCAGUAACACGUGGCUAACCUGCCCUUGGGACGGAAACAUCCCCGGGAAACUGGGGCCAAUUUCCGAUAGGUGAAGAACCCUGGAAUGAGUCUUCGCUCAAAAGGCGCUUAGAUCAUGCUUCUAGGUGUUGCCCAAGGAUGGGGCCGCGGCCGAUCAGGUUGUUGGUGAGGUAAUGGCUCACCAAGCCUUUAACCGGUACGGGCCGUGGGAGCGGUAGCCCGGAGAUGGGCACUGAGACAAGGGCCCAGGCCCUACGGGGCGCAGCAGUCGCGAAAACUUCGCAAUAGGCGAAAGCUUGACGGGGCCAUCCCGAGUGCCAUCUGCUGAGGAUGGCUUUUACUCAGUGUAGAUAGCUGGGGGAAUAAGGAGAGGGCAAGUCUGGUGUCAGCCGCCGCGGUAAUACCAGCUCUCCGAGUUGUGGGGAUGUUUAUUGGGCCUAAAGCAUCCGUAGCCGGCUGGGCAAGUCCUCUGUUAAACCCAGCGAUUAAUCGUUGGCCUGCGGGGGAUACUGUCCGGCUAGGGGGCGGGAGAGGCCGUCGGUAUUCUCGGGGUAGGGGUGAAAUCCUAUAAUCCCGGGAGGACCACCAGUGGCGAAGGCUGUCGGCUAGAACGCGCCCGACGGUGAGGGAUGAAGGCUGGGGGAGCGAACCGGAUUAGAUACCCGGGUAGUCCCAGCUGUAAACGAUGCAGGCUAGGUGUUAGGGCGGCUACGUGCCGCUCUAGUGCCGCAGGGAAGCUGUUAAGCCUGCCGCCUGGGGAGUACGGCCGCAAGGCUGAAACUUAAAGGAAUUGGCGGGGGAGCACCACAAGGGGUGAAGCUUGCGGUUUAAUUGGAGUCAACGCCGGG
rnacentral:rRNA from 1 species